rnacentral:rRNA from 1 species
GACGAACGCUGGCGGCGUGCUUAACACAUGCAAGUCGAACGGAAAGGCCCUGCUUGCAGGGUACUCGAGUGGCGAACGGGUGAGUAACACGUGGGUGAUCUGCCCUGCACUUCGGGAUAAGCCUGGGAAACUGGGUCUAAUACCGGAUAGGAGCCAUUUUUAGUGUGAUGGUUGGAAAGUUUUUUCGGUGUAGGAUGAGCUCGCGGCCUAUCAGCUUGUUGGUGGGGUAAUGGCCUACCAAGGCGGCGACGGGUAGCCGGCCUGAGAGGGUGGACGGCCACAUUGGGACUGAGAUACGGCCCAGACUCCUACGGGAGGCAGCAGUGGGGAAUAUUGCACAAUGGGCGCAAGCCUGAUGCAGCGACGCCGCGUGGGGGAUGACGGCCUUCGGGUUGUAAACUCCUUUCGCUAGGGACGAAGCCUUUUGUGACGGUACCUAGAUAAGAAGCACCGGCUAACUACGUG